AGUAGCGAAUAGAAUAAGCAACUCGAAUAAAACACGCAUAACGCUAAAAUUGAAUAUACAAAAGUGGCACUCAUUUAAGGUUGCAAAUUUGUAACAUUUACUGCGAACUUCACAAAAUAACAAUUUGUAAUGUAAUUAUUUAUAGAAAAAACGAGCACAGAAAAUGAAAUGAAAUGAAUUGCCACGGAGCGCUCAUUUAACCCAAGUUUGCCUCUAAUACAUAAAUGAGUACCUUUAUUGUUUAGAUUCGCCAAGCCUUUGAGAGUAGCGUAGUUAAUAAAUAAUUAAUAAAGUUAACAUUGACUUGAUCAA